rnacentral:rRNA from 2 species
CGGCGGACGGGUGAGUAAUGCCUAGGAAUCUGCCUGGUAGUGGGGGACAACGUUUCGAAAGGAACGCUAAUACCGCAUACGUCCUACGGGAGAAAGCAGGGGACCUUCGGGCCUUGCGCUAUCAGAUGAGCCUAGGUCGGAUUAGCUAGUUGGUGAGGUAAUGGCUCACCAAGGCGACGAUCCGUAACUGGUCUGAGAGGAUGAUCAGUCACACUGGAACUGAGACACGGUCCAGACUCCUACGGGAGGCAGCAGUGGGGAAUAUUGGACAAUGGGCGAAAGCCUGAUCCAGCCAUGCCGCGUGUGUGAAGAAGGUCUUCGGAUUGUAAAGCACUUUAAGUUGGGAGGAAGGGUUGUAGAUUAAUACUCUGCAAUUUUGACGUUACCGACAGAAUAAGCACCGGCUAACUCUGUGCCAGCAGCCGCGGUAAUACAGAGGGUGCAAGCGUUAAUCGGAAUUACUGGGCGUAAAGCGCGCGUAGGUGGUUUGUUAAGUUGGAUGUGAAAUCCCCGGGCUCAACCUGGGAACUGCAUUCAAAACUGACAAGCUAGAGUAUGGUAGAGGGUGGUGGAAUUUCCUGUGUAGCGGUGAAAUGCGUAGAUAUAGGAAGGAACACCAGUGGCGAAGGCGACCACCUGGACUGAUACUGACACUGAGGUGCGAAAGCGUGGGGAGCAAACAGGAUUAGAUACCCUGGUAGUCCACGCCGUAAACGAUGUCAACUAGCCGUUGGGAGCCUUGAGCUCUUAGUGGCGCAGCUAACGCAUUAAGUUGACCGCCUGGGGAGUACGGCCGCAAGGUUAAAACUCAAAUGAAUUGACGGGGGCCCGCACAAGCGGUGGAG